AUUAGUGGCUUGAUUUGUUUUAAAUUAAACUAACUAAUUUUUAAUUUGAAUUAUCUGUAGAGAUGGAAAAUUGAGAGUGAGCUAGAAUACUUUCAAAAGCACCAAAGAGGUGGUGCUUUUGAGUUUUUAGCCUUUGGAUGAAAAAAUGUAGGGUUGGGAUGAUGGUGGUAGGUGGUGGUAGGUGGAAUAGUGUUUGAUCCAAAAGCUAUUAAUAAUUAAGGAGUAGAUCCAAGGGCUAAAAAGUUAGAACUAUCAAGGAGGUGGUGCUUCUAAAAGUAUUCUAGCUCAAUUCGAAAAUUGAGACCUAGUUUUGAAAAAAUAAAAUUUGGUUUGUGGAAACUUCAAAUCUUAUAAAUUACAUUUCAUGGUUUAUAGCCGCUCACUCGAAAUCCUUUUAUAAAAAACAACUUGGUAAUAUUGUAGCUAGAAUACUGUCGAUAGUAUUCUAUCCUAACUUUAAACUUUGGAUACAUACUUAUUAUAAUCACCUACUCUUUUACUAAUUAAUUUUCACUAUUUUACUAAUCCACCUCACAUAAUAAAUUUAACUCUGGGUAAAUUUUUCACAUGAACUUAUAAAAAAGAGUAUGUGAAAGAUCCUAAAGAUGAAGUUAAAUUUAUUAUCUAUAAGAGAAAAUUAAUAAGAUAACAAGAACAAACAAAAAAUGGGUAAUAACUUAAACUAUUUGUUGAAUUGGGAUUUCCAUUUCAUUCUUGUAAAAAUUUUUCUACUUUGAAAUAUUAAAAAUUGAUGUAACAAAUAAACUGCUUUAAAUUUUAUUAAACUACUAGUAGUUUAGUGGUAAGAUGUUUGAUAGUUGAUUUUGAGGUCAGGGGUUCGAACCUCUGUGUGUAGUCUAUUGAAAAUUAUAGAUUUCAACUUUAUAUUUUCAAAUAUUAUUACAAACGGUGGUUCGAGCCUCCGAUCUUAAAGUCGGCACUUAAAUAUCUUAUCACUUGCGAACUAGUAGUGUGGUUGAUUUUAAUUAUUUUUUAGUUU
rnacentral:lncRNA from 1 species